GUCUUCAGCAGUUGACUAGAAUGUUGCAUUUAUGAGUGAUAAAUAACUGUCUCUUUCAUUCUCAAGUCCUCAUAUUGAGAACCCUUGCACUCAAGGGGCUAUACUUCAGAUACCAUAACCCAGGCAGCUUAUCCCCCUGCAGCUAUGAUAGUAAGAUCUUGGGACUCAAGCCCUGAACCUGAUGCCAUGAUAACUGAGACUUGCAGGAGAGCACGAGUCUGAGCGGCGCAGAACGUGAGGGACCCAAGGGAUCCAACGCAGGCUCUGCUGACAGCAGAAAGCCUGAUGCAGGGCUCAAUCUCAAGACCGUGGAGAUCAUGACCUGAGCCAAAGGCAGACUCUGAUUGGACUGGAGCCAGCCAGGCACCCCUCAAUUUAGUAUUUCAUUUCUUAGCAUAAAUUUAGAAUAAAAGCUUUGUUAUA